UACAGAGGUCUCAAGCGUUGUUCGGAUUCAUUGGGCGUAAAGGGUGCGUAGGCGGCGCGGUAAGUCGGGCGUGAAAUCCCUAGGCUCAACCUAGGAACUGCACUCGAAACUGUUUAUCUUGAGUGCCGGAGAGGAAAGCGGAAUUCCUGGUGUAGAGGUGAAAUUCGUAGAUAUCAGGAGGAACACCGGUGGCGAAGGCAGGUCUCUGGGCCGAUACUGACGCUGAGGAGCGAAAGCGUGGGGAGCGAACAGG
rnacentral:rRNA from 1 species